CAGGCUUAACACAUGCAAGUCGAGGGGCAUCAGGAAGAAAGCUUGCUUUCUUUGCUGGCGACCGGCGCACGGGUGAGUAACACGUAUCCAACCUGCCCUUUACUCGGGGAUAGCCUUUCGAAAGAAAGAUUAAUACCCGAUGGCAUAAUGAUUCCGCAUGGUUUCAUUAUUAAAGGAUUCCGGUAAAGGAUGGGGAUGCGUUCCAUUAGGUUGUUGGUGAGGUAACGGCUCACCAAGCCUUCGAUGGAUAGGGGUUCUGAGAGGAAGGUCCCCCACAUUGGAACUGAGACACGGUCCAAACUCCUACGGGAGGCAGCAGUGAGGAAUAUUGGUCAAUGGGCGCUAGCCUGAACCAGCCAAGUAGCGUGAAGGAUGAAGGCUCUAUGGGUCGUAAACUUCUUUUAUAUAAGAAUAAAGUGCAGUAUGUAUACUGUUUUGUAUGUAUUAUAUGAAUAAGGAUCGGCUAACUCCGUGCCAGCAGCCGCGGUAAUACGGAGGAUCCGAGCGUUAUCCGGAUUUAUUGGGUUUAGAGGGAGCGUAGGUGGACUGGUAAGUCAGUUGUGAAAGUUUGCGGCUCAACCGUAAAAUUGCAGUUGAUACUGUCAGUCUUGAGUACAGUAGAGGUGGGCGGAGUUCGUGGUGUAGCGGUGAAAUGCUUAGAUAUCACGAAGAACUCCGAUUGCGAAGGCAGCUCACUGGACUGCAACUGACACUGAUGCUCGAAAGUGUGGGUAUCAAACAGGAUUAGAUACCCUGGUAGUCCACACAGUAAACGAUGAAUACUCGCUGUUUGCGAUAUACAGUAAGCGGCCAAGCGAAAGCAUUAAGUAUUCCACCUGGGGAGUACGCCGGCAACGGUGAAACUCAAAGGAAUUGACGGGGGCCCGCACAAGCGGAGGAACAUGUGGUUUAAUUCGAUGAUACGCGAGGAACCUUACCCGGGCUUAAAUUGCAGUGGAAUGAUGUGGAAACAUGUCAGUGAGCAAUCACCGCUGUGAAGGUGCUGCAUGGUUGUCGUCAGCUCGUGCCGUGAGGUGUCGGCUUAAGUGCCAUAACGAGCGCAACCCUUAUCUUUAGUUACUAACAGGUUAUGCUGAGGACUCUAGAGAGACUGCCGUCGUAAGAUGUGAGGAAGGUGGGGAUGACGUCAAAUCAGCACGGCCCUUACGUCCGGGGCUACACACGUGUUACAAUGGGGGGUACAGAAGGCAGCUAGCGGGUGACCGUAUGCUAAUCCCAAAAGCCUCUCUCAGUUCGGAUCGAAGUCUGCAACCCGACUUCGUGAAGCUGGAUUCGCUAGUAAUCGCGCAUCAGCCACGGCGCGGUGAAUACGUUCCCGGGCCUUGUACACACCGCCCGUCAAGCCAUGGGAGCCGGGGGUACCUGAAGUACGUAACCGCAAGGAUCGUCCUAGGGUAAAACUGGUGACUGGGGC
rnacentral:rRNA from 1 species